rnacentral:rRNA from 1 species
AUGUUUACGGCUCAGUAACACGUAGUCAACCUGCCCUGGAGACCAGGAUAACCCCGGGAAACUGGGAUUAAUACUGGAUAGGUCAUCUCAUCUGGAAGGAGAGAUGGCUUAAAGGGGUGUGUGAGCUUCUUUCAUACAGCUGCUCCAGGAUGGGACUGCGACUGAUCAGGCUGUUGGCGGGGUAAUGGCCCACCAAACCAGUAACCAGUACGGGCCUUGAGAGAGGGGGCCCGGAGAUGGACACUGAGAGAAGGGUCCAGGUCCUAGCGGGGCGCAGCAGGCGCGAAACCUUCGCAAUGCGCGAAAGCGUGACGAGGUUAAUCCGAGUGGUUCCCGCUGAGGGAAUCUUUUGUCGGCUCUAAAAAGGCCGGCGAAUAAGGGGAGGGCAAGUCUGGUGUCAGCCGCCGCGGUAAUACCAGCUCCUCGAGUGGUCGGGGCGAUUAUUGGGCCUAAAGCAUCCGUAGCCGGUUCUGUAGGUCCUCUGUUAAAUCCAACGGCUUAACCGUUGGCCCGCAGAGGAUACCGCAGGACUAGGAGGCGGGAGAGGCAGACGGUACUCUACGUGUAGGGGUAAAAUCCUUUGAUCCGUAGAAGACCACCAGUGGCGAAGGCGGUCUGCCAGAACGCGCUCGACGGUGAGGGAUGAAAGCUGGGGGAGCGAACCGGAUUAUAUACCCGGGUAGUCCCAGCCGUAAACGAUGCGAGCUAGAUGAUUCGGUCGCAAAUCGCGAUCGAAGUGUCCCAGGGAAGCCGUUAAGCUCGCCGCCUGGGGAGUACGGCCC